AUGAGGACGCAGGUUGGAUCCCUGGCCUCACUCAGUGGGUUAAGGAUCCAGCAUUGCCGUGAGCUGUGGUGUAGGUUGCAGAUGCGGCUCAGAUCCGGCAUUGCUGUGGCUGUGGUGUAGGCCGGUGGCUAUAGCUCCGAUUCGACCCCUAGCCUGGGAAUCUUCAUAUGCUGCGGGUGCAGCCCUGAAAAGACAAAAAUAAAUAAAUACAUAAAUAAGUAGGGCAUCCCUGUAUCUCACUCACGCAAGAAUCAAACAUUUCCUGAGGCCCUUCCGUGUGCUCAACAUUGUGCAAGGCAUUGGGUUUCCUAGCACUUUACAUUUAUGGUCCUGUUUUAAAAGUAAGCUUCGGGGAGGUUAUACAGCUUCCCCACAGUGCCCACAGCCACACAGUUUGUCAAAGCCUUGGGAUCAGAAUAAAGGGAAAGAAUCUGACAGUUGAUUAUUUUUGUUAUCAUUUUCAUGCCAUUUAAGUAGCCUUCAAAAUACUUGGUCAACAUUUGCUGUUCUCCCUAGCCCAGAACAACCCACAGUUUGUGCCAGGGGAGUGCGAAAGAGGUCGUUUUCCUCAUUUACUCACCCGUUGGUAUGUGCAAAACCAGAUGUCAACAGGGCCCUGUCCUGUGCUUAUUCACGGUGGCCGGCUGAUGCCUGCCCUCCACAUGGGCCCAGUACAGGCACUGAUCCUGGGCCCAAAACCAACAGCAGUGCAUGAGAGGAGAGGACGUUUUGCUCCCAACUUGAGUGUUUUUCCCCUCGAUUUAAGAGUGGCAUUUCAGUGCUGAGGAAAAGGAGCCUACUUCUGAAACCCUACAGACCGGGGUUCAAACCCAAGCCGAACCUCUUGCAAGUUGUGGGAGCCUGAGCAAGCCUUUUAGCCUCUCUGUGGCUUUAUUGUCUCCCCCACUAAAUGGAGGCAAUACCUCCCCUGGGGAGAGGUUCAACUGGGUGACGCCAGCAGGCUGUCAUUGUGACUGCCAGCAGUUGUAGCCAUGUAGCGUUGUCUAAACUAUACUCCCCCGAGGAGCAGAGUCAUGGUUUUUGAAAGCGAGGAACUAACAAGCAUUUAUUAAAGAUCUGUUUUUCAGGCAGGAAGGUGGAGAGAAACCUUGCACACCAUCUCCAGGAGUGAGGAACCCAGGCAGGGAGUAAAUAAACCCCACAGCAUAUGCAUCUCUCCAGCAGCUCAAGCAUCCAAGAUACAAGAAGUGAGAGAGAAAAUUCUCCCCUGAGUAUCUGCGGCUUUGGAGAUAAAGGCCAUGAGCAUGGGCAGAUGGAGGCCCCCAAGGCCGCAUCAUGGGUCCCCCUCACAGGCUUCUUUUCCACUCUCUGGUCCUUUCCCCCAGUUCUCCAGAGUUUGCUUUUUCGCUUGUGCAGGUAUUUCCUUCCUGAAGGCCAUCGGGGACCGGAGUGUCCUCCGGUUAUCUCUCUCUGCCACCGGCUCCUCGCCUGACUCUGACCUCACCUCGGCGUCAGUCUUAUCAGGUGUGGACAGAACCGUCUCCCUUCUCCCCACUGCUCAGGGAGCUCCAAGCCCAGGAUUCUCCCCACACCCGGGUGGAGAGGGCCACCCCCCUCUGAGACUGAAUGUGGCGGCCACCUGCCAAAUCAGGAGCAACCACAGGGGUCUGCACACAAAGCCAUGAGGCCCCUGGAGGAAGGGAGAGGUUUACGUAAGUGUUGACAAGGAACAGAGCAGAUGCUGAGCUCCGCCAAGCUGUACGGAGGUGGGGGUGGAGGGGUGGAGGCCAGAGAAAGACAGCUACUCCCAGCUCUUGGCCUCACAUGCAAAAUAGAGGACAGCAGGUCCCAGCGCAGAUUCAGACUCCUCCAGGAACCCUCUGUUUCCUCCCAGGAUGCAGGGGGCUCUAGCCUAGUUUUCUGAGAAGUGGGUCUUGUCAUGAAUGAAACAGGAAGUGAGAGGCCAGCCAGGAAUCAGGCAGGAGGUGUGGGCCUUUGCUCCUUGGUCUGUGGUACCGGUGCCUUAGUUCCAUGUGAACCCCUCCACCAUAUGGCAAAGACACAGCACAUCCAGGCUACUCUGGUUGGUUUAGGUCUGUGGCUAGAGCACUCCUUGGGGUUCAUGGCCUGGGGGGAGAUAGGGGUGGGUGUUUAAUUAGAAUUCAUUCCACACAGACCCCUUUGUCCUGUUGCUCCAGACAGUUGUUUGUUUGUACCGGGACCUUGCCUUUUUUGGCCUUGCUAGUGUCUGUCAGUAAAUGAUAACUCAUUUGACCUGUCCCCACAGUCUCAGCUGUGCACCUCCCAGAAGCUUCUCACAUCCGUGUUGUCACAUUCUAGUGCUUGGAAGGGAAGCAGGGGUCAGACCACCCCUCACCAUGAUGUCCUGGGUGGCAGAAAGCCAGGUGAGUUGGCCAAAUGCAAGAGGCCUCAUUCCUGUGUUCUAAGCACUGGAAUGCUGGCUGGCAGCUGUGCCCUUGUUGGCAGGAGACAGGUAGGGACCCUGUGGGCUGUGGCCCAGAGUAAAGGGGGAACCGGAGGAACAGAAAGCUUGUCCUUCCUUCCAGUUUAUGUUUCCUGUGUGGCCCCACUGCGCUUCAUAGCCUAGGGGCCACCGCUAGGAAGUCGUCCUGCAGAAAUACUCAGACGUGUGCAGAUGACGCAGUACAUAGAAGACUGUGAACAAUCUAAAUGCCGCUAACAAAGGCCUGAUUAAAACAUCUACUGUGUGUGCAUGCAGUUGUGCACUGUAAAGGAAACUCCUCGCUCUGGUAAGAAAUGAUCUCCAGAAGACGAUGUUAUGUCCAACAAAUACAACUAGGUUAGGAACUGUGUUACCAUUUGUUUUUAAAACAGAGGGGAGCAGGGAAGGGAGACUGUGUAUGCAUAUGCUUGUUUGUACACAGACUGCCUUGGAAAGCUGCCCGAACCAGUAAUACUGUAGUCCCUGGGAAGGAGUGUGCUCAGGGGGUGCAGGAGCUGGGAAGGUAGCAGUUGCCUGGUGCUCUACCUCAACUAGCCCAGACUUAGAGCUGAAAACCACCACCAUUUCACUCGGCUCGCUUUCCUGUGGAUUGGCUCCGUUGCCUGGGGCUUCUGCCCACGUCAGGGUCAGAGUCCCCAGAAGCAAGACAGCAAAUCCAGUGCACAAACACUUUCAAGCCCUUACUUGCAUGAUGUUUGCUAAAGUCCCCAUGGCCAAAGCCAUUCCUACAACCAAGCCCAGUGUCAAGGCAGAGACAUAGCUCCCGUGUGUCAGUGGGAGGAGCUAGAAAAUACACUGGUGGCUAUUCAUCCACCACAUGCUGAGGCAGAGGCAAGCAGAGAGGGAGCAACUUUUCUCUUUGUAGCCUUUCGUACUUUUUGAAUUUGAGUCAUGUCAAUACACCCUAUUCAAAAAGAAAUAAAUUCCCUGAGAUUAGCUUUGAAAUAAUCCAUUGUUGAGGAAAAAUGUGGGUGGGAAGGAAGAGGUGGAGGUGUAGGUGGAAGAAGAUUGGCCUUGAGCUGACAACUGCUGAGGUUGGAGAUGAACACAUGAGGCUCGUAGUCCUCUUCUACUUGUAUUUUUAAAAAAUGUCCUGCAGCAGAGGUUCCUGCUGUGGCACAAUGAGAUGGGUGGCAUCUUGGGAGCACUGGGAUGCAGGUUCGAUCCCCAGCUAGGUAUAGUGGGUUAAGGAUCCAUCAUUGCCGCAGCUGUGGCUUAGGUCAAGACUAUGGCUAGGAUAUAAUCCCUGGCCUGGGAAUACCACGUGCUGCCAAGCGGGUGAAAUGGGGGGGGGGGGAGAAGAAAAGUCCUACAACAGAAAUUUUAAAAAAUUAAAAAGGACCCAUACCAAAAGCUGAAGCGUACUGAGACUCCUGUACAUGGUGAGAGUGUUGGCUGCAUCACCCCCUCUUGUGGUCCCAACCCCUGGAGGUGGGGGCUCUUUGGGCCUUGACUGAAGCUUUCUUGAGGAUACUGACUGCAGAGGUUAGUGCAGAGCGGGCCCCAGGGCAGCCCCAAGCAGAGGUGCUGGGCCAUGAGGAGCUGUCAGAGGGUAGGGAAGAAAGAAGCCUUAGGGAGCUGCCUCCACAGUGUGGGCAGGAUGAGAGGCUGAAAAAUCCCAGGUGUUGAUGAUGGUGGUGGCAGGCAAGGAGCAACACGAGUAACUCUUUCAGAACCACACAAAGGGCUUCUGAAGUUUGGGAGCAAGAAAGGAUCCCAGACAAAAAUUACAGGGCCUAUGGGCACAUCCAAAGGAAAAUAGCUCAGUGAGAAAGCUUGCCUCUUCUUCAUCACUCAGGAUGACCAGAUGAAAGGACAAAGGGAAAAAAAUAGGAUGGUCACAUGUGUGUGUCAGUGGUGUGCCCGUGUUGAGCCUUGAGCCACCCACGUGAUCUGGGCCCAACUCCCAGGGGCCCAAGCUUGGAGCAGCUCUGAGAAUGCUAAGCGCCCCAGGCUUCCCUUCUGUGGGCAGACAGGGGAAUCUUUCACCACCUCUACCAGUCACAUGAGGGCCCUCGCUAACCCUGAGAACUUUCUCUCUGUUCCAGAUGUCCACUAAGAGAUAUUUACCCUCUGAGGUCACACUCCCUGACUUUUGUGUGCAGGCCUGUGAAUGCCUGCAUGUGCUUCUGUGGCUCCUCCUGUGACCACAAUAGGACAGGGAAGUGAGGGAGAUGACCACACACUUCCUAGGCAUCCAGCUGCGUCCUCCAACCCACUCUAAGCCAGGCUGGAUGACCCUCCCAGUCAUCAUGCCUACAUCUAACUUUGCUGCUGAAUUGCCACAUUGUUUUUAUGUGUUCCUCUCUAGUUAGAGACUUAGCAUUAAAGAAUUACUG
rnacentral:lncRNA from 1 species